CCUGUAAUCACAUGGAAAUUGCAAGUAGGGGCCAAAAUCGUGACAGGUGUCGAAAUGUUCAUUGGUCAGGCGUACGAACAAUACGAAAGGUUCACCGGUUUGCCAGCUCCAAAGCAACUAUUUAAGGAAAUCAUGGGAGAUCAUUGAUAAA